UGGGGAAUAUUGCACAAUGGGCGCAAGCCUGAUGCAGCCAUGCCGCGUGUGUGAAGAAGGCCUUCGGGUUGUAAAGCACUUUCAGCGAGGAGGAAGGUGGUGAGCUUAAUACGCUCAUCAAUUGACGUUACUCGCAGAAGAAGCACCGGCUAACUCCGUGCCAGCAGCCGCGGUAAUACGGAGGGUGCAAGCGUUAAUCGGAAUUACUGGGCGUAAAGCGCACGCAGGCGGUUUGUUAAGUCAGAUGUGAAAUCCCCGGGCUCAACCUGGGAACUGCAUUUGAAACUGGCAAGCUAGAGUCUCGUAGAGGGGGGUAGAAUUCCAGGUGUAGCGGUGAAAUGCGUAGAGAUCUGGAGGAAUACCGGUGGCGAAGGCGGCCCCCCUGGACGAAGACUGACGCUCAGGUGCGAAAGCGUGGGGAGCAAAACAGGAUUAGAUACCCUGGUAGUCCACGCUGUAAAACGAUGUCGAUUUGGAGGUUGUGCCCCUGAGGCGUGGNUUCCGGAGCUAACG
rnacentral:rRNA from 1 species